rnacentral:rRNA from 1 species
ACAAGCGGUGGAGCAUGUGGUUUAAUUUCGAUGCAACGCGAAGAACCUUACCUACUCUUGACAUCCAGAGAACUUUCCAGAGAUGGAUUGGUGCCUUCGGGAACUCUGAGACAGGUGCUGCAUGGCUGUCGUCAGCUCGUGUUGUGAAAUGUUGGGUUAAGUCCCGCAACGAGCGCAACCCUUAUCCUUUGUUGCCAGCGGUUCGGCCGGGAACUCAAAGGAGACUGCCAGUGAUAAACUGGAGGAAGGUGGGGAUGACGUCAAGUCAUCAUGGCCCUUACGAGUAGGGCUACACACGUGCUACAAUGGCAUAUACAAAGAGAGGCGACCUCGCGAGAGCAAGCGGACCUCAUAAAGUAUGUCGUAGUCCGGAUUGGAGUCUGCAACUCGACUCCAUGAAGUCGGAAUCGCUAGUAAUCGUAGAUCAGAAUGCUACGGUGAAUACGUUCCCGGGCCUU